rnacentral:piRNA from 1 species
UGGACCUCUUUCUCUGCCUGUAGUGAU